rnacentral:lncRNA from 1 species
CAACAUUCACAUCUUCAACUUUCGCCACGUAGAAGCCUGCAUGCCUUCCGCUUUAGCACCCUCUCCAUGUGUCCUUUAGAAUGGAACUCAAAAGUAGUUAUUUGUAUUUGAAUUUGCUAUCUGCGUGCCUAAAUAAUCGCUUCUUCGACGCAUUUUAUGCUGUCGAGAACUUUGUUAUCAAAAUAUUCCCAUAAUAUUCUCAAAAAAUACUAAGUUCCAACUUGCUUCACUAGAGACCUAGAC